rnacentral:rRNA from 1 species
GGUUAAGUGACUAAGCGUAUACGGUGGAUGCCUUGGCAGUUAGAGGCGAUGAAGGACGUGUAAGUCUGCGAAAAGCUGUGGUGAGCCGACAAAAUGCAUUUGAGCCACAGAUGUCCGAAUGGGGAAACCCACCUAUUUAUAGGUAUCGUUACAUGAAUAUAUAGUGUAACGAGGCGAACGAGGGGAACUGAAACAUCUAAGUACCCUUAGGAAAAGAAAUCAACCGAGAUUCCCCUAGUAGCGGCGAGCGAACGGGGAUUAGCCCUUAAGCAAUUAUGAACGUAGUGGAAGCCUCUGGGAAGUGGCGCGAUACAAGGUGAUAGCCCUGUACACGAAGUGUUUGUUUUUGUGAAAUCGAGUAGGUCGGGACACGUGUUAUCUUGACUGAAUAUGGGGGGACCAUCCUCCAAGGCUAAAUACUCCUAACUGACCGAUAGUGAACCAGUACCGUGAGGGAAAGGCGAAAAGAACCCCUGUGAGGGGAGUGAAAUAGAACCUGAAACCGUAUACGUACAAGCAGUGGGAGC